UGCCAGCUUGCUGGUGGAUUAGUGGCGAACGGGUGAGUAACACGUGAGUAACCUGCCCUUAACUCUGGGAUAAGCCUGGGAAACUGGGUCUAAUGCCGGAUAUGACUCCUCAUCGCAUGGUGGGGGGUGGAAAGCUUUUUGUGGUUUUGGAUGGACUCGCGGCCUAUCAGCUUGUUGGUGAGGUAAUGGCUCACCAAGGCGACGACGGGUAGCCGGCCUGAGAGGGUGACCGGCCACACUGGGACUGAGACACGGCCCAGACUUCUACGGGAGGCAGCAGUGGGGAAUAUUGCACAAUGGGCGAAAGCCUGAUGCAGCGACGCCGCGUGAGGGAUGACGGCCUUCGGGUUGUAAACCUCUUUCAGUAGGGAAGAAGCGAAAGUGACGGUACCUGCAGAAGAAGCGCCGGCUAACUACGUGCCAGCAGCCGCGGUAAUACGUAGGGCGCAAGCGUUAUCCGGAAUUAUUGGGCGUAAAGAGCUCGUAGGCGGUUUGUCGCGUCUGCCGUGAAAGUCCGGGGCUCAACUCCGGAUCUGCGGUGGGUACGGGCAGACUAGAGUGAUGUAGGGGAGACUGGAAUUCCUGGUGUAGCGGUGAAAUGCGCAGAUAUCAGGAGGAACACCGAUGGCGAAGGCAGGUCUCUGGGCAUUAACUGACGCUGAGGAGCGAAAGCAUGGGGAGCGAACAGGAUUAGAUACCCUGGUAGUCCAUGCCGUAAACGUUGGGCACUAGGUGUGGGGGACAUUCCACGUUUUCCGCGCCGUAGCUAACGCAUUAAGUGCCCCGCCUGGGGAGUACGGCCGCAAGGCUAAAACUCAAAGGAAUUGACGGGGGCCCGCACAAGCGGCGGAGCAUGCGGAUUAAUUCGAUGCAACGCGAGGAACCUUACCAAGGCUUGACAUGAACCGGAAAUACCUGGAAACAGGUGCCCCGCUUGCGGUCGGUUUACAGGUGGUGCAUGGUUGCCGUCAGCUCGUGUCGUGAGAUGUUGGGUUAAGUCCCGCAACGAGCGCAACCCUCGUUCUAUGUUGCCAGCGCGUUAUGGCGGGGACUCAUAGGAGACUGCCGGGGUCAACUCGGAGGAAGGUGGGGACGACGUCAAAUCAUCAUGCCCCUUAUGUCUUGGGCUUCACGCAUGCUACAAUGGCCGGUACAAAGGGUUGCGAUACUGUGAGGUGGAGCUAAUCCCAAAAAGCCGGUCUCAGUUCGGAUUGGGGUCUGCAACUCGACCCCAUGAAGUCGGAGUCGCU
rnacentral:rRNA from 1 species